rnacentral:misc_RNA from 1 species
UUUCCGUAGGUGAACCUGCGGAAGGAUCAUUAUUGUAUAACCGAGGUGCGAGGGCUGUCGCUGACCCGAAAGGUCGUGCACGCCCGAGUGCCCUCACACACAUCCAUCUCACCCCUAUGUGCACCACCGCGUGGGUCCCCCUUUGGCUUGUUCGGAGGGGGGCUUACGUUUUUUCUAUAAACUCUUAUGUAUGUAACAGAAUGUCUUAAUGCUAUAAACGCAUCUUAUACAACUUUCAACAACGGAUCUCUUGGCUCUC